AUACUACUCCCUCCAUCCGGAAAUACUUGUCAUCAAAAUAAAUAAAAUGGGAUGUAUCUAGAUGUAUUUUAGUUCUAGAUACAUCCCUUUUUCUCCAUUUUGAUGACAAGUAUUUUUGGACGGAGGGAGUAAAUG
rnacentral:pre_miRNA from 1 species